rnacentral:rRNA from 1 species
UGGUUUAAUUCGAUGAUACGCGAGGAACCUUACCUGGGUCUCAAAAUGUAUGUUGACGUAUUCUGAAAGGGAUACUUCUUCGGACAAUAUACAAGGUGCUGCAUGGUUGUCGUCAGCUCGUGCCGUGAGGUGUCGGGUUAAGUCCCAUAACGAGCGCAACCCCUAUCAUUAGUUGCCAUCAGGUCAAGCUGGGGACUCUAAUGAAACUGCCUACGCAAGUAGUGAGGAAGUGGGGAUGACGUCAAAUCAGCACGGCCCUUACGUCCAGGGCUACACACGUGCUACAAUGGCCGGUACAAAGGGUUGCCAAGCCGCGAGGUGGAGCUAAUCCCAUAAAACCGAUCGUAGUCCGGAUCGCAGUCUGCAACUCGACUGCGUGAAGUCGGAAUCGCUAGUAAUCGUGAAUCAGAAUGUCACGGUGAAUACGUUCCCGGGCCUU